CGCAUCUGUGCAUGCAGCAUAUCAAUAAGCGGAGGAAAAGAAACUAACAAGGAUUCCCCUAGUAACGGCGAGUGAAGCGGGAAGAGCUCAAAUUUGAAAUCUUAAAGGGUUUCCCUUUACGAAUUGUAGUUUAAAGAAGUGUUUUCUGUUGAGGUUUUGGUAAAAGUUCUUUGGAAUAGGACAUCAUAGAGGGUGAGAAUCCCGUAUUUGACCUUUACUUUCAACUUUGUGAUACACUUUCAAAGAGUCGGAUUGUUUGGGAAUGCAGUCCAAAAUGGGUGGUAAAUUUCAUCUAAAGCUAAAUAUUGGCGAGAGACCGAUAGCGAACAAGUACCGUGAGGGAAAGAUGAAAAGAACUUUGAAAAGAGAGUUAAACAGUACGUGAAAUUGUCAAAAGGGAAGCGUUUGACACCAGUGUUGUUUUUCUGAAAAUCAAUUAAAGAACUGUUUAUGCUAAGUUGUUUAGACUUUAUCAGCUAUCUGCUUAGUUUUGAGCUUUUCUUUGAUGCACUUUUCAGUUAACAAGUCAACAUCAAUUUCUUUUGCUGUAAAAAAGCUUGAGGAAGGUGGCCUGAGAUUCGUCUUAAGUGUUUAUAGCCUCUUGCCUAUGCAGUCGGAGAGAUUGAGGUCUGCAGCGUAGAUCCUUCGGGGCUAAAUGCAUUUGUGCUAAGUUAUAGCAUUUUAUAGACAGCUUGUUGACUAUGAUUUGUCUUGUAGCUUACUCGCUUAUGUUAUUUUACCUACGCUUAGGAUGUUGAGCGCAUGUCUCUCUCU
rnacentral:rRNA from 1 species